CCUACGGGAGGCAGCAGUGGGGAAUUUUGGACAAUGGGGGCAACCCUGAUCCAGCAAUGCCGCGUGCAGGAAGAAGGCCUUCGGGUUGUAAACUGCUUUUGUCCGGAAAGAAAUCUCCUGGGUUAAUACCUCGGGGGGAUGACGGUACCGGAAGAAUAAGCACCGGCUAACUACGUGCCAGCAGCCGCGGUAAU
rnacentral:rRNA from 1 species